AUUUAACCCGAACAAAUCCAUUCCGCCCGAAUUCAAUUUUCAAUCCGACCUUCUAGGUCGGAUUAGAAAAAAAAGGGUAAUUGGGGGGAUUUCCAUUCACCUGGAAAUUGAAAUCAGAAUGAAAUCCCCAUACCAAACACGAAUAAAUGGAUUCAUCUAUUCUAAUUUUGAUUCUAAAGUGAAAAAUGGGUAAAUCAAACACGCCCUAAAGAUAUGAUCAUAUGGUUUUUUAAAGAAAAUUACU
rnacentral:lncRNA from 1 species